rnacentral:rRNA from 1 species
UACGUAGGCAGCGAGCGUUGUUCGGAAUUACUGGGCGUAAAGAGUGUGUAGGCGGUGCUCCCAGUCUGUUGUGAAAUCUCCCGGCUUAACUGGGAGGGUGCAGCGGAAACUAGAGUGCUAGAGGGUGGGAGAGGUAAGCGGAAUUGCUGGUGUAGCGGUGAAAUGCGUAGAUAUCAGGAGGAACACCUGUGGUGUAGACAGCUUACUGGACCACUUCUGACGCUGAGACACGAAAGCGUGGGUAGCAAACAGG